GAUGAACGCUAGCUGCAGGCCUAACACAUGCAAGUCGAGGGACCGGCGCAGGUGUGUGUAACACGUAUCCCACCUUCCCUUUACUCGGUGAUAGCCUUUCGCAAGAACGAUUACUACCUGAUCUAAUGGACGGGGAUGCGUUACGUUUGGUUGUUGGUUAGGUAACGGCCCACCAAGCCUUCGAUGGAUAGGGGUUCUGAGAGCAAGGUCCCCGACAUCGGAACUGAGGCACGGUCCAAACAGCUACGCAAGACAGCAGUGAGGAAUACUAGUGAAUGGACGUUGGCCUGAACCAGCCGAGUAGAGUAAAGGAUGAAGGCUUAUUGAACGUAAACUUCUUUUAUAUAAGAAGAUGUAUUAUAUGAAUAAGGAUCGGCUAACUCCGUGCCAGCAGCCGCGGUAAUUC
rnacentral:rRNA from 1 species